GACGAACGCUGGCGGCGUGCUUAACACAUGCAAGUCGAACGAAGAGCGACGGAAGCUUGCUUCUAUCACUCUUAGUGGCGCACGCGUGAGUAACGCGUAAUCAACCUGCCCUUCAGAGGGGGACAACAGUUGGAAACGACUGCUAAUACCGCAUACGAUCUAAUCUCGGCAUCGAGGAUGGAUUAAAGGUGGCCUCUACAUGUAAGCUAUCACUGAAGGAAGAGAUUGCGUCUGAUUAGCUAGGUGGGGGGGUAACGGCCCACCAAGGCGAUGAUCAGUAGCCGGGCUGAGAAGAUGAACGGCCACAAUGGGAAUGAGACACGGCCCAGACUUCUUAGGGAGGCAGCCGGGGGGAAAUAUCCGAAAAUGACGGAAGUCUGACGGAGCAAAGCCGGGGUAGUGAUGAAGGGCUUCGGGUUGUAAAGCUCUGUUAAUCGGGAAGAAAGGCCUUCUUGCGAAUAGCGAGAAGGAUUGACGGUACCGGAAGAGAAAGCAACGGCUAACUACGUG
rnacentral:rRNA from 1 species